rnacentral:lncRNA from 1 species
GUUUAAAUCUCUAAGAAAAAAACCUCAUUUCAUUAUGGGUGGCAAACUACUAUUUUGCUCACAUACCACCUACCUGAUUAUUGACUACUUUUUACUUUAAAUAUGUUAUUUUAUAACUUUUUCCAAGGGUGUAGCUAUUUUGGCCUAGCAAUGGGCAUACUGUGGUAUGUGUACAGAAACCCGAGCCAGCAGGGUGCUUACUGCACCCAGGAGUAGGCAUUCUUGGAGUCAGUGUGGGAACAGAUUUCAGUCAUGUCAUCAUGUAUUAAUAACAGAAACACAGUAUUAAUGAACAGAUCAAACUCUCCCUGAUGGUUUGAAGCAGACCUGACUCUUUUGGAAUGUUUUCUUAGAAAUAAGUUGAUCAAUUUUUUCUGUACUUUAUGCCAAUGGCUGUGUCAGCAUGGCUGAUUUGGAGGCUAAUUAUGUGAUUUUUAUAGCUAUUCUGGGAAAACAUGAACAUACUGGAAAUAGAAUGGGGGAGGAUAUGAGAGUGUUGACCUAAAAAUGGAGACAAGCCAGAGUGUUAAUGAUUUCCAUGCUGUUCAGCAGAAAUCAUCUCCCAUGGUCUCUGUUGAUAGUUUGCAUCUAGGGAUGACAGAUUUCCAAAAUACGGUUACUUAAGAAGUGAUUAUAGGAAGUCAUCUC